rnacentral:rRNA from 1 species
GACGAACGCUGGCGGCGUGCUUAACACAUGCAAGUCGAACGGAAAGGCCCUGCUUUUGUGGGGUGCUCGAGUGGCGAACGGGUGAGUAACACGUGAGUAACCUGCCCUUGACUUUGGGAUAACUUCAGGAAACUGGGGCUAAUACCGGAUAGGAGCUCCUGCUGCAUGGUGGGGGUUGGAAAGUUUCGGCGGUUGGGGAUGGACUCGCGGCUUAUCAGCUUGUUGGUGGGGUAGUGGCUUACCAAGGCUUUGACGGGUAGCCGGCCUGAGAGGGUGACCGGCCACAUUGGGCCUGAGGUACGGCCCAGACUCCUACGGGCGGCAGCAGUGGGGAAUAUUGCACAAUGGGCGGAAGCCUGAUGCAGCAACGCCGCGUGCGGGAUGACGGCCUUCGGGUUGUAAACCGCUUUCGCCUGUGACGCAGCGUGAGUGACGGUAAUGGGUAAAGAAGCACCGGCUAACUACGUG